UGAGGAAUAUUAGUCAAUGGUCGCAAGACUGACCCAGCCAUGCCGCGUGCAGGAAGACGGUCAUAUGGAUUGUAAACUGCUUUUAUACAGGAAGAAACCCGCCCACGUGUGGGAGCUUGACGGUACUGUAGGAAUAAGGAUCGGCUAACCUCGU
rnacentral:rRNA from 1 species